rnacentral:rRNA from 1 species
UACGUAGGGGGCAAGCGUUGUCCGGAUUUAUUGGGCGUAAAGAGCGUGUAGGCGGCUUCACAGGUCCGCUGUGAAACUCGAGGCUCAACCUCGAGCUGUCGGUGGAAACCGUGUGGCUAGAGUCCGGAAGAGGAGAAUGGAAUUCCUGGUGUAGCGGUGAAAUGCGCAGAUAUCAGGAAGAACACCCGUGGCGAAGGCGGUUCUCUGGGACGGUACUGACGCUGAGACGCGAAAGCGUGGGGAGCGAACAGG